AGCGAAUGGAUUAAGAGCUUGCUCUUAUGAAGUUAGCGGCGGACGGGUGAGUAACACGUGGGUAACCUGCCCAUAAGACUGGGAUAACUCCGGGAAACCGGGGCUAAUACCGGAUAACAUUUUGAACCGCAUGGUUCGAAAUUGAAAGGCGGCUUCGGCUGUCACUUAUGGAUGGACCCGCGUCGCAUUAGCUAGUUGGUGAGGUAACGGCUCACCAAGGCAACGAUGCGUAGCCGACCUGAGAGGGUGAUCGGCCACACUGGGACUGAGACACGGCCCAGACUCCUACGGGAGGCAGCAGUAGGGAAUCUUCCGCAAUGGACGAAAGUCUGACGGAGCAACGCCGCGUGAGUGAUGAAGGCUUUCGGGUCGUAAAACUCUGUUGUUAGGGAAGAACAAGUGCUAGUUGAAUAAGCUGGCACCUUGACGGUACCUAACCAGAAAGCCACGGCUAACUACGUGCCAGCAGCCGCGGUAAUACGUAGGUGGCAAGCGUUAUCCGGAAUUAUUGGGCGUAAAGCGCGCGCAGGUGGUUUCUUAAGUCUGAUGUGAAAGCCCACGGCUCAACCGUGGAGGGUCAUUGGAAACUGGGAGACUUGAGUGCAGAAGAGGAAAGUGGAAUUCCAUGUGUAGCGGUGAAAUGCGUAGAGAUAUGGAGGAACACCAGUGGCGAAGGCGACUUUCUGGUCUGUAACUGACACUGAGGCGCGAAAGCAUGGGGAGCAAACACGAUUAAAUA
rnacentral:rRNA from 1 species